AACGAACGCUGGCGGCAUGCCUAACACAUGCAAGUCGAACGAUGCUUUCGGGCAUAGUGGCGCACGGGUGCGUAACGCGUGGGAAUCUGCCCUUGGGUUCGGAAUAACAGUGAGAAAUUGCUGCUAAUACCGGAUGAUGUCUUCGGACCAAAGAUUUAUCGCCCAGGGAUGAGCCCGCGUAGGAUUAGCUAGUUGGUGGGGUAAUGGCCUACCAAGGCGACGAUCCUUAGCUGGUCUGAGAGGAUGAUCAGCCACACUGGGACUGAGACACGGCCCAGACUCCUACGGGAGGAAGCAGUGGGGAAUAUUGGACAAUGGGCGCAAGCCUGAUCCAGCAAUGCCGCGUGAGUGAUGAAGGCCUUAGGGUUGUAAAGCUCUUUUACCCGGGAUGAUAAUGACAGUACCGGGAGAAUAAGCGCCGGCUAACUCCGUG
rnacentral:rRNA from 1 species